rnacentral:lncRNA from 1 species
CAUGCCUUCAGUGACUCAGCACCGACAAACAAUGUGAAACCUUCCCACGGUCACCACUGUGAGGAACCAGGUGCCUCCCCACCUCUUUUGUCCCCACUCAGAGGCAGACUCCCCCGACCCCCGCAUCUCUUGUGUGAUAUCCGUUGCAUGGCUGAAGCAUCCCUUGGCCCCAGUCUACCAAGUUACUCUUUGGCUGCUAAACCUAACAUUGGUGCCACUGACUCCGAUAGGACGCCCUGGCGCUUGUGCUCCUCAUCUGGGGUCUAAGCGGCGUUAGGACCACAUCCCUUAUCUCCUGUCCACCCACAACAGGUCAAGCUCGGGCCCACCAAACGCUUGGCCCACCAUCCAUCACUGGCAAUUGAGAGAAGUGCCAGCUCUUGGCAGCCUCCCUAAGGUCUCCUCCAAAGAUGAUGUCAGGCACAGAAGAAGGACACCUGGAGUUUGCUUUAAAUGUGGCAAAGCCUGCCACUGGGUGAAAAACUGCCCUCACCUAGCCUGCAGUUAGGACCCCGUCCAAACUGUGGACAAGGAGGACACAGGGAAGUUGAUUGCCCCAAUUUUCACAGUAGACCAGUCCCCCAAGUUCCUCCUCUGUGGGACGUCUGACGGAUCUUCUGGACCUGUCGGCUGAAGACUGAGCUGCCCUGGAACCUCUGCUCCCAAGACCAGGGAACAACCUAGGAUGAUUGUGAGGGUAUCUGGUAAAUCUCUGCCAUUUAUAAUAGAUUCAGGACCUACUUGGUCUGUGCUUCUGCUGACUCAGGUGAAAUUUUUCCUUCUCAGACCUGUGGUGGUGUUGGUGACAGGCUAGAGAUGGCUUGGUCAGUUUAAAGCUCCCUUCUCAGUUCCCUUCAUAUGUAAAAAUUGGGCCUCAGGCCUCACUUUCCUAGAGCUACUGCUAGGCCUUAACACAGUUUACUUCCCUACCAGAUCCUAAAAGGAGAUAAAAUCACAAACCAGAUGUCAAUGCAACUCUUUCCUAGCCCUUUAUUUAAAGGAACUCACUCUACAGCUCUCAGCAGUCAGCCUGUGUCUCAGUGAAUGAAUGGCUAGAAAAAAGAGGUGUCAAGUUUAUUUAAGGUCUGAGGAUAUGAAAGCUUAAAUAAAUAAGCUCUGGUGGCCUAAGAAAGUGAUCUAAGGAAUUAGGUACAAGUUAUAAAAGAUAUGAGGAAAUGUUUUAAGAUGUGUAGAAUGCAAGUUAUACAGGUCUAAGCACAUGAGAGCUUAAGUUGAGAGGGUCUAAGAAAAUGGGUUUUUGUUUUGUUUUUAUAAUGUUAAAGUAAUUGAUUUGUUUUUUAUGUACAUUGGUGUUUUGCUGGCAUGUAUGUCUGAGUGUGUUGAAGCUCCCCCACCACAGCACCACAUGACUCCUCUGUGGGGCAGCCCUCAACAGAGACCUCCAGUCAGUGACUACAAGUAUCCAACACGAGGCAGAGAAACAGCCUGGGGGGGCUGCUAAAUCUCUAGAAAAGACUGUUGUGCGUCGCAUCAGACACUGCCAGCUCUGAUGACAACUAUGUGCCCACAAACCCAGAUUCUGACAUCCUCAUGAGCACAAUGUCCCAUCACUUUGCCAGCCGAGGAAGCAAGAUCCAGCCACCCCCAGGCAAUAUCUACCUCAAGCCUGGCUGAAAAGCAAAGCCAGUAUCAAUGAGCUCCCUUUCAAGUCACCUGUCACCAAGUAUUGGUCCUCAGUCAACCACACCUUUAACUCCAGUUUCUCUAAGUACUGCAGUUCCAUCUCCACACAAAGCAUCCCAGAGACAGUGAGGAGAACUAUGUCCCUAUGCAGAACCCAAUGUCUUCAUCCCCUGUAUCCAGUGGCACUAACAGCCCAGCUCCAAAAAAAAGAGUACUGGCAAUGUGAAUUACAUAGCCCUGGACUUUCAGCGGGUCUCCCAGAGCCCUCAUUGUGAGCCAUCCACAUUAUCUUUCGCAUCAGAUGAGAAUAGAUAAAGAAAAGACCCAGGCCCUACAAAAGACCAUCCAAGUUAUGGUAAGGAUGGCCAUCCCUGACACCUCCUCUCCUUUGUGACUUUUGUUCAAAAGAUGUAUGUAUGGUGUGGCCACACAUGUGUGUAUGAAAUGGGAUCGUAAAUGUGUGAUUGUUAACAAAAGAAUGCUAUUGUGUUGUCUUUGAAUCGUUUAAUUGCUGGGGAAGGAGCAACAGUUGUUAAAGUACAGGUUACUUGGGAGGGAAAUUUCUGCUUUUUUUUCCAUGGAGGGUGAAGAGCUGUGGAUUUCUUCCAGACUGCUAUGGUUUCAUGGGGCAGGACCCCCUGAAGCAGUGGCCCAGGUGAUCUGAAUAUUUGUUUUCAUUUAAAUUUGGUCAGUUAGAAAUGGUAGUGGUCACAAUCAAUCACUUUUAAAAGGAAAAAGGCGGAAUAUGAUAUUGAAAUGAUACUUUGUAUUGAAUGGAUCCUCAUUUGUUGAUACUUUGUAUUGGAAUGGAUCUUCAUUUGUUGAUAUUAGUUAGGUUUUCUAGAUAUAUAGAUAUUUCCAAACAUUUCAAAGAAAUUAUGACAUUUAAAUGGUUUAGGGUUUUUCUUGACAGUGAGACACAACUGCUCCUGGCACACCAAUUAUAUCUGAGAGGAAGAUGGGCAUCCAAGAAACUCAUUAUAGAGUUUGACUUUGACAUGGCAAGACCAGCCAUUUGGGCAAGAAGCUACUCUUGCCUGAACUGUUAAACUGUUGCUUUAUAAACUGGACAUGCAGGACCCACAGGAAAAUACCUAAAGAGUUCUUGCUUCAUGGAGGAGAACAAACUGCCAAUGCAGGACAGUUUAGAAUUCCCUGCUUCAUGAAAGAGUCUGCCAGACAUUCUACAGGACACAGAAAAAAGAUACAGACAAACUGCCAAUGCAGGUGGAUAGUUUAGAAUUUCCUGCUUUGCUGAGAAGUCUGCCAGACACAUUGUGGCCUGUAGGUUAAAGAUGGAUGUCCCAAGGUUACCAAGAAACUUUGGGUGACUGUCUAGCAAGCAAGGUGUCUCUGUCAGUUCUAGAGUUUAUAUAUUAUCCUUCUAUGGUCUUUGAUGGAGUGAAGAUAGAUAGUUAUAGUAACACACUAAGAGUGGUUCAAAUCUUAUAGUUCUUACGUGAUAACUGUUUUGUUAUAUAUAGAGAAGGGGGAGAUGUUGGCACCCAGCCCCCAUGGGGUCUCUAAGAGUUGUUUUGCAGCAUAACCACAGGUACCUCCUGUUUGCCUGACUUCACCCCUGUUGUGAACCCUUUGACCUGGGGUUUUUGUAAAUUUGUAUAUAAGGCUGCUCCACAAUAAAGGUGAGAGACAUUCUCUCAGAAAAGGACCAGGAGUCUUGUGGUUCAUCCAAAUCUCCAGGCUUUCGUCCAAUCCUCGGACUUAGUGGCCAAAAGCAGCCACAGGAUCCCCUGGAAAGGAAGUUGCAGUUGUG